rnacentral:rRNA from 1 species
GAUGAACGCUGGCGGCGUGCCUAAUACAUGCAAGUCGAGCGAAUGGAUUAAGAGCUUGCUCUUAUGAAGUUAGCGGCGGACGGGUGAGUAACACGUGGGUAACCUGCCCAUAAGACUGGGAUAACUCCGGGAAACCGGGGCUAAUACCGGAUAAYAUUUUGAACYGCAUGGUUCGAAAUUGAAAGGCGGCUUCGGCUGUCACUUAUGGAUGGACCCGCGUCGCAUUAGCUAGUUGGUGAGGUAACGGCUCACCAA